GUCGCAAUCCGUCGCACGUGCCGUGAUGUAUCAUGGGAAAUGUAGUGCCAGCGUGCCUAGAGGCAAACGCAGCUUGCUUAAUGUGCUGUUUCUACCAACUUCCUUGUGAGCACCUUGAAUUAGACUCAGAAAGCAACUAGCAACCAAUGCUGCUGUUUCAACAAGUGAUGACAUCACACUUCUGUAUGGUCUCUCUUCUCCAGUGCUGACUCAUGAAAAAGGGGAGGAUGCCUUCUAAUGUUGCUUCCAUCCAUACAUACACACCAACAAGAAUGGAAUUCCUGAAGCUCUUUUCUGUGGCCUCCAGAACCUGCGAAGAUGAUGUUGCCAGGAUUCAGCAGAAAAGUGCCAUAUAAUGAUGGUGAAAUUCCUCUGAUUUUCAAUGACAAUCCAAAAUUCAUGGGGAAUUGAGCCUGAAAUAGGCUCAAGUCCAAGCCUAGAUAAUUGGAGGAAAAACUAUAAACACCAAGGAAAAAGGACCCACAAUCUUAGCACUGCCCCUCCAAUUAUAUCAUCAACCAUGAAAAUCAUCAUGAUCACCAUCAUCAUGGUAGAAGGCGUGAUUUUUCUAUAUCAGAGAGAACAUGAGCAUCCUAAAUAUUACCCAAAUCCUAUUAUACCCCUGUGCUAUAAUAUACUGGUCUUUUUUCUCUUUCUUUGUGUUAAUUUAUUUAGACAAAUACACUUCAAAUACACUGCUUAUAGCCCUGACAAUUCCCCCCACC